rnacentral:lncRNA from 1 species
UCGGGACUAUUGGGUCACCCCGGGUAGUCGAGACUCUAGACUGAGCUGUCUCGGUCACUCAGGAGGCAGUUGGCAGAGUAUUCGUGGUCAGGGAGGUGACCCGUGGUCAGCAGGGUCAGGCCACCCAGGGACAAAGGGUGCUCCUGCACCGGGCCUUGGAGAAGGACAGAGCGGUGGGGACUUGGGGUCAGCGGGGGAGCCUCCGCGGAUGGGGAGUCACCACCUGCCGGGUUCAAGCCAUUCUUCUGCCUCAGCCUCCCGAGUAGCUGGGACUACAGCCACCCACCACCACGCCUGGCUACUUCUUUGUAUUUUAGUAGAAACAGGGUUUUACCGUGUUGGUCAAGAUGGUCUCGAUCUCCUGACCUCGUAACCUGCCCGCCUUGGCCUCCCGAAGUGCUGGGAUUACAGCAAUCAGCCAUGACUGCCUUUGCACUGUCCAUGCUCUCAGCCCACCACCUCCUCCCCCUGCCAUUGCAGUGGCUAACACUGGAGACGAAGACCAAGACACCACAGCCUUUCUCCAGUACCUCUCAAAUCAGCACAGACAAGGACAAAGGCCUCAAUCCACAACUGCUG